UUCCGGUUCACAAGAGCCAUUGUUGCUGA
rnacentral:piRNA from 1 species